rfam:Oryza sativa (indica cultivar-group) chromosome 4, whole genome shotgun sequence.
AAUAAAUGAAGUUUUACACCGUUCAUGUCCAACAUUUAACCAUUCGUCUUACUUAAAAAAAUUAUGAUUAGUAUUUUUAUUGUUAUUAGAUGAUAAAACAUAAAUAGCACUAUAUAUGUUAUUAUUUUUUUUAUUUUUUCAUAAAUUUUUCAAACAAGAUGAAUGGUCAAACGUUGGACAUGAACACUUACAGCUUCACUUAUU